rnacentral:tRNA from 1 species
UGAAAUGUCGCUAAACAGGUCCAGACCCCGCACUCGAAAUGCGGCGUGGGGGUAACUCCACCGUGGGUUCGAAUCCCACCCUCUCCGCCA